AGGUUUCUUUGUCUGAUUGAUUAUUAUGAAUCACAAAUUAAUCAAAUGAAGAAGGAGCUAAGGCUAUUCAAAAAAGAUGAAGAUCAUGUACAGAGAGAAG